rnacentral:rRNA from 1 species
GACGAACGCUGGCGGCGUGCUUAACACAUGCAAGUCGAACGGAAAGGCCCUGCUCUUGUGGGGUGCUUGAGUGGCGAACGGGUGGGUAACACGCGAGUAACCUCCCCUUGUCUUUGGGAUAACUUCAGGAAACUGGGGCUAAUACAGGAUAGGAUCUCUUGCUCCAUGGUGGGGGUUGGAAAGUUUCGGCGUUUGGGGAUGGACUCGCGGCUUAUCAGCUUGUUGGUGGGGUAGUGGCUUACCAAGUGUUGGACGGGUAGCCGGCCUGAGAGGGUGACCGGGCACAUGAGGACUAAGAGACGGCCCAGACUCCUACGGGAGGCAGCAGUGGAGAAUAUUGCACAGUGGGCGGAAGCCAGAUACAGCAACGCCGCGUGCGGGAUGACGGCUUUCGAGUGGUAAACCGAUGUCGCCUGUGACGAAGCGUGAGUGACGGUAAUGGGUAAAGAAGCACCGGCUAACUACGUG